rnacentral:rRNA from 1 species
UACAGAGGGGGCAAGCGUUAUUCGGAAUUAUUGGGCGUAAAGGGCGCGUAGGCGGCUUGGCAAGUGGAUGGUGAAAUCCCUCGGCUUAACCGAGGAACUGCCGUCCAAACUGCUUAGCUUGAGACCGGGAGAGGUGAGUGGAAUUCCCAGUGUAGCGGUGAAAUGCGUAGAUAUUGGGAGGAACACCAGUGGCGAAGGCGGCUCACUGGACCGGUACUGACGCUGAUGCGCGAAAGCGUGGGGAGCAAACGGG